rnacentral:lncRNA from 1 species
AAAAAAGUUGUUCAUGCGGAACUGCCUUUUGCAUACAUCUUUACAAAUGAGAAUUAUUUGUGAGUUUUUUUUUCCAUAACCUAUAAUAAACGUUCAUAAUAAUAAUAAUUUCCCUUUUUAUAAUAACUACUUAUUUGUGAGAAAAAUGUUCACAUAUGGCCACAAUAUCGUUUGUCUCAUUGUUGAAAAUAAAUGUUCCCUUUUGGCUAUAAGACGUUGCCAUAUCAUCUAUAACAACACAUAUAGUCACUCAUACAACAAGGUUAGAUAUAAGGUUGUCUAUAAGAUUAAUAUGUUUUGUCAUUUUCUCUCUAUCUCUUUCUUCACAUUUAUUGCAUAUGUCUAGGAGCAUGCAUAUAGCUACAAAGACAAAAUUGACAUGUAAGAAGGCUAUAAGCCUGCUAUUGUACUUGCUCCGCGGAAGGGAAAAGAACGAACAACCCGGGGAAGGUGUUUCUUGGACAGGAGAGCCAAUAUGUGUGCCACAAGUGACCCAAAAGGAACAAUCAACACGAGACCUCUCUGCCUAACCCUUGCGCUCACUCCAUCCGAUAUGGCAUAGCCUAGGAAGCAGCCUCUUCUGUCGUUGUUGAUGGUCGUAAUUGGAACCAAUCUGAUCGGAUCACCGUUCAAUCAUAGCCAAGGAAUUAACUGGCACACCCUGCAUCCUCAAGAAGGCGCGAGGAGUGUGGUGCAUGAGACUGCCGAAGCAUGAAGGCACAACACUCCGCAAAGAGAAUAUGCCGAGGGAAAUUAACCUAUGCGGCGGUGUAGGAGGUUGAUGCAUGGAGCUGAUUUCAACUAGUUCGUGCACAUUGAAAUUCUAGAGACCCACCCGUAAUUCCUGAUGUCUCCUAUGCCUAUGCAACUAUGUCCAUCAAAAUCAUAACCUAGUGUGUAGAGUGCGAAGACAUAACACAAUCGGAUUAGACAAUUUAAAGACAUAGAAGUAUAAUGGAAAAAUAAAUUAUUGACUAUUUCCUAAGACAAGUCUUACUCCUUAUAUAAGACAUGAGUGGUAAGGAGUGACAUGAAUUCAUUGGUCCUUUAGUAGGUGAAUAGCUAAGAGCCCCUUGGUUAUGACUUAUGAGCUUGGUCAUGAAGUCAUGAUAACCGAUCCUUUUAAGGGAGCACCUAAGGAAUCAACUUAAAAGAAAAACUAUAGUUGAUUUCUUCUAAACCAUUGAAUUGCCACCGGCAAGAUUUUUUGUCAUCCUCCUCUUGAACUCGUGCACUUUCCAAUCUCAAACUGGGCUAGUGCUAAUAUUUAUUUCUCUUUUCUCAAAUAAAUGAUUAUGAUCUUUUUUUCAUAGUGACUACUUUUAUAUAUUUUGGUAAACAAUUGUUAUCUGUUGGUUACAAAAUUGUUCUUCUAUACUACAAAAAUGUUCCAUUAAUUUGUUUGAAACAAACUGUCGCUCCUGUUUUUCUCAAGGCGGAAGCGCACAAACAAAUCCGCACAAAAAGAGAAGACGAAUGUGGACGUUGAGCUAUUACUUUGUUUUUUCAGGCCGCUACUUUCCAAUAGAAGUUUCUGUACAACUUGUUGGGUCGUCCAACCCAUCUCCCAUCCCCGUUAGAGGCAGAGCCCGCCAUCGUCAGCAGUCGAUUCCGCUCCGCGCCCUAACUCGCCGCCUCUCCCUUCCAUCCUUCCCUAUCGCUCCUCCUCGUCGAUGGCGACUCCUCCUUCGUGCGCGUGGGUUGUUGAGGUUGACUAGAAGGAGGAAGGGGGCGAGUGAUUAACUGCUAACACGUUCGCAUGGAGUCACCCACGUGUGCUACCUCGCAUCGACUAGGUCUGACUCGCUGGAAACGACCGAUUCGGCCCAGAGGUGUCUUAAGAACCGUGUCAUGCAGAUUCAAUAGUACUUGUAUGUAACCAAACAACCCAAUAUAAAAAAGAUGCUACAUACAAAGAGCUUGGUUGGGAUUUUCUGGGCAACCAAACACAUCCCUAACGUCAAUCAUGGGUGGACGCAUGCAAGACAUUAAUAUUUUUCAACUGUCACCUGGGGAGAGGGGAGCUUCCCCACAUAAAUACAAGCCAUUGUUAAGUGCAAAUAUCUCUAUCAUGCAAGUCAGGGUAAAAGUAAGCAUGUCAUCUCCGUCCCGUAGUCAUCUAGCCAAGAUAGCUCUUUCUUCAGAUAGUAAGCGUGAUAUUUGGUAGACUGACUCUUCGCGACUAGGCAUUGCACUGAUAAAUUUUAGUAUAUGAAUUAAGAUGCAAUACACUAGCGACAAUUCCGUGAAAUAUUAUGCCUUGCCAUUUAGCUUAUUUGUGUCUUGGAGCUCGACGUCUAUGUUGCUCCUUGCAAACGACAACGUGAUCACCUACCUGCUUUCUAUCACCCUUGUGUGCGAAUGACCCCAAUUGUAUCCCUGUUCCAUCAUAGUAAAGGAAGUAACUAGCACAUCAUGCAUCCUCAAGAAGGUGCGAGGAGUGUGGUGCAUGAGAUUAUCAGAGCAUGAAGAUCCAAUGCUCUGUGAAGAGAAUAUACCGAGGGAAAUUAGCUGAUGUGGCGGCGUAGGAGGUGGAUGCAUGAAGCUGAUUGCAACCAGUUGGUGCAAGUUGAAAUUCUAGUAACCCAUUCGUAAUUCCUGAUGUCUCCUAUGCCUAUGCAACUAUGCUUAUCAAAAUUAUAACCUUAGCGUGCAGAGUACGGAGACAUAACACAAUUGGAUUGGAGAACAAAGAUAUAGAAGUAUAAUGGGAAAG